UGGUUGAUCUGCUGGUGGAAAAUGUCCCUUUGAGUACCCUGCGAUGCCCCUUCCUCCGUCGCUGCCUCACUGAGUCUCCUGUAGGGGGAGAACAGAUGUUGUAUGGAUGAUGGUGGGCAGGAUCGGAUACUGCGAUGGCCCCUGGAAAUGGGAUGCCCCCAACCCCUGGCAGCCAGGGAUGGCUGUCCCCCUACCCAGAGUGGCAAGGAUGGAGGAAGGGAAGGAGCCAAGGGCAGACUCCUUCCAGAGGGCUUCUUAGAGCCUCAGGGGAUAAUUAUGGCACUGUCUCAGCAACCCCAGGGGCAGGAAGGGGUACAGAGGGGAGAGCCUGGUUAAUUAUGGAGCAGGUGCCUGGCAGCACCUUGGGGUGAAUGCAUUAAGGUUGGGAAGCUGUCAUCUCACUCGCCCCAUCACAUUUAUUCACAGAACCCUAGGCACCCAGCUGGGGCUGCAUUUGUGUGGAUUCCGGCUCAGUUGGAGAGAUCUGCAAGUUCAAAGCCUGUGCCUUCUUUCCAAAUGGGAUCCCCCCUCUUGCCUUCUCUCCCUCACUUCCCACCCCGCCUGCCUCCCAUCAGGACUCUCCCCACUCCACCUCAUAGCUGCCUCCUGGCCUCCUCCUAGCCUACAGACAGCCUGAAUUGUUUUGCCUGCACUGGUUUAGAAAGGAGGGUUUCAGGCCUUCAGGUGAGUUGGAGGAAGAGGCUUCCAGGCUCCCCUGGCUCCCCAGCCCACUUCUGGUCCCCUCCUGGGCCUGCCCACAGCCUACAGGAGACCCUCGUAUGGACAGUGCCCUGAGAGGAGUCUUCAAAGCCCUGCUGCCCCUGAAGAAAUGGGAUCAGCUGGGAACUGUCACAAAGAGCAGAGGCCCCAGUGCUGUGUGCCCAGCGCUGCCCUCUGCCAGCUUGCAACUGUGCCGUGGGCACCCGGGCCACAGCAGUUUAGGCAGGAGGUAAAAUGUGUCAGGGCCACAUGGGGACAGAAAAGAAGUCAGGGACCCCUGGUUUGUCCUGGUUCAUCUCCAGUCUCCUCAUUGUCUUUCCCACAGGCAUCCCAGGCUGCCAAAUGGAGAUAAAACUUGCAAAUCCGAAGAGGGGAAUUGAAUUUGCACCCUCUGACUUCCUGCCUGCAUUUUCUAACAUGACUCACCUCCCUCAGGGCCCAACUCCAUCCACCUCUGCUACAAAAAAGAGCAAAUCCUCUACCACCUCUCAUCUCUCUCCCUGCUGAAUUUGUCCCUGAGUUAGCUCUUGCUUUUCUGUUAAUAGGAGGAGAUCCUUUCGCUCUCUGGAUAGACUGUCAAUUUCUGGAGAAACUACGCCCACUUCAGAGCUAGCCCGAGUUAAUCUGGUGAAACAAUAGAAAGGGUGAUCUUUUCAUACAGCCUGCCUCAUUCUGCACAUGCUUGCCCUGGGGGUAACAUUUUUGGCCAGUGAAGCAAAAUGCCACCAGUAAUUAGGCAAGUCCUUCAUCUCUGGCACAAGCAUCCAAAAAAAUGGAUGGAAGGCUCUUGUCCUCAUACAGCUUGUUCCAUGCUUUCCUUCACCCUCUGGACCGUAAAUUCUAAGUAGUCAUCCACUGCCUGUCUUGCUCACGACUAUACCUCGCGCUAUGCCCAACAGUGUUCACAUCUGAUAUACGUUCUUGGACUGUUAUUAAAUUCUCUUACUCUUGUCUGAAAAGUAGCGAGACACCUCCUCAGCCAGAAUUGACUAAGACCUCAGCCAUAACAAGGUGGAUUCUUUACCACUGAGGGAAUAAAGCCUGCUUUGCAGAAAAUGUGGAAUAUACAAAUUGCAAAAAUGUAUUUACCUGUGGAGUAUUACCUGGAUGAAACAUACAUAAAAUGAAUUGAAAAAAUACUUUUCAGUUUGUGAAUAUCUGGUGAUGUUAAUGCUUGACAGAGAUUUUAUCUUUGAAAGAAUGAAAGAAAAUAUUGUGAAACAUCGCAAGUAGGUACUGAUUAUUUUAAAUAAUACAAAUAAAAGUAAUUGUAUUUUUUAAAAUGUUCUGAUAUCCAAAGAAAUAUGCUGUCACCAUUGUAAUGAAUGUGCAAAAGAAUUUCUUUUUUUGAAACACACCUAUACAGAUAGCUAUCAUCUCAUUUUUCAGAGAUAACAACAGUCAAGGGAAUUCAGUCUGAGCCUAGUUGUGCUGGAUACUUGCAUUUUUUAGUUCUUAUAAUAAUCCCAUGAGGAAAGCAAUAUUAUCCCCACGGGAUGGAUAAAAACGAUGAAACCCGGAGAGGUUAAAUGAACAAAGGGCUGGUGAGUGGCUGAGCUAGGACCCCCCGGGUCUGUCUGACUCGGAUGUCGCACUUGACACAGACACGUGAUUGUCUAGCUGUGCAGAUGGAAGGCAGCCAAGGGAGCCUUCAGCCUGAACAACACGCAGCCGGGCUUCUGCUGAGACCUCCGUCUGGCCUCAGGACAUGGAGCCUCCCCACUCCUGCCCCGUUAGUGACCUCAGUUUGGUCAGUAUGGCGAGAAAACUGUCUCUUUGCAGAGGCAGGGCCAGGCUCUUAAGUCCUCUCUCUCCCAGCUGCAGUACCAGCUUGGAAACAAACAGCCUCGGAGGGGGCCGCUCUGUCGGGAAGAUCAAUGCUGCCUUCCAGAUUCUCUCACCGGGGGAGCUCGGCCAAAGCGGCAGCUGCUAGAUGGAAACGCUUUGAAGGUUGAACUCAGGAGUCCAGCGCCGCCCCUUCUGGCAGGCUUGCCGAGCAAGGCAGACGCUCAAGACAAAUUAAAGUCCCCGUCACAGGCUAGGAUAGAAAGCAAAAUGCAUGACUCAUACAACUUUUCCAGGGAGAUCCUUAGAAAGUUUCCAGGACUGAGCACGCUGGAUUCUCCCCACCUUGGAAUUUCGGCCACCCACACCAGGAUUUACAAAGCUCAUUUACAAUGAACGGCGGCAAGGGCAAAGGGCAUUCCUGCAGGCAAUGAGGUCAUAAGAAGGGAGAAGUGUAAAGCCUCCCCCUUCGCAGGAGAUGGUGAAAAGUGUCAUUUGGGAUUGGACGUGUGUAUGUACGGAUGUUUAUACUGUACCAGUGAAUGUCAUCACCCCAUCCCUCUCUGGAACCCGCUCCCUCACAUCACUGCCCUACUCAUAGCCAGCAUUCUCAGAGAGUGAGGGCUCAGGGAACGUCC